rnacentral:rRNA from 1 species
UACAGAGGUCUCAAGCGUUGUUCGGAUUCAUUGGGCGUAAAGGGCGCGUAGGCGGCGGGGUAAGUCGGGUGUGAAAUCUCAGAGCUCAACUCUGAAACUGCACUCGAUACUGCUCUGCUUGAGGACUGGAGAGGAGACUGGAAUUUACGGUGUAGCGGUGAAAUGCGUAGAUAUCAGGAGGAACACCGGUGGCGAAGGCGGAUCUCUGGGCCGUAACUGACGCUGAGGAGCGAAAGCAUGGGGAGCGAACAGG